UUUUAUUAAAAAAAAUGCGGUUAUUAAAAAUAAACAAUAAAAAAAAGUAAUCAAAUAAAUUUUAUAUUGAAAUAAAACUUGGCUCUGAUUUUUAAAUAUAGCAAGGACUAAAGAAUACACAUGGUUUUUAUAGAAGGGGGCGAGGUGAAAACAUAAAAUAAUAUAAAUAUAUAAUUUAGUUUUAUUUUAUUUUUAAAAGCAUUAUAGGAGUAUAAAAUGUUUUGUUAAUUCCGCUAGCACCAGUGUUGGAGGUUAAUAAAAAAGUGAAAGCUUGUAUUAAUUUAGUUGAUUAAAUUUGGUUAAUUUGGUGCCAGCAUCCGCGGUUACACCAAAAAAUUAAGUUAUAUAUUUACGGUAAAAAGACAGUUAAACGGGUAUAUAAGUUUAUUGAUUAUUUAUAAAGAGGUAAAAUUCACAUAUAAAUAUAAUAAUCUAGUAACAACUUUAAAGGUUGAAUCUGUGAUAGCUUUGAGGGAAACUGGGAUUGGAUACCCCAUUAUUCUUAGUUGUAAAUUUAAUGGUAAUUUACCAGAGUACUAUGAAUGCAAAGAUUUAAAACUCAAAGGGCUUGGCGGUAUUUUAGACCACUUAGGGGAACCUGUCUCGUAAUCGAUAAUCCACGUUAGACCUAACCUUUUUUUGCGUUCAGUUUGUAUACCGUCGUCGUCAGGUAACUUUUAAAAAAUGAAAAGUUAGCUAGAAAAGAUUUUAGAUAAAUUAAAACGUCAGAUCAGGGUGCAACUUAUGAAAAGGAGAAGAUGGGUUACAAUUAUAAAUUUAUAAUUAUGGAUAAUCAUUAUAAUUAGUGAAUUAAAAGAGGACUUAAAAGUAAUUUUAAUUAUAUAAGAAAUUUGAAUAAGGCUCUGAAAUGUGCACACAUCGCCCGUCGCUCUCGUUGAAAAAUGAGAUAAGUCGUAACAUAGUAGGGGUAAUGGAAAUUGUCCCUAGAUG
rnacentral:rRNA from 1 species